AAUAAUAUAUACAACUUAAUCUUAUUUAUUUUAAAAUAUUUACAAAAGGAGUGUAAACUAGGGAGAGGAGACAUUUGACGGAGGUUGGACGGGGGACUUCAGCGGGUAUAUAAUUGUGCAGAGAAGAUUGCAUUAAGGGACAACUAAAGAAUAAAUGAUCCAUGUUUCCCUCAUCAAGGCUACAAUCACAUAGAGAAUGAUCCCUAAUUCUAAGUUUUGCUAGAAAGACUGGAGUGCAGGCAUGGUUUAAACGGUAGAGCACAAGUCAGGAGUGAAUAUUUCUGAAUACUGAAAGGAACCUGAAUGAGCAGCUGAUCUAGCACAGGCAUCUGCAUUUUCAUUACCAGAGAUGCCCAUGUGACCUGGAAUCCAAGCUAAAACUAUGUUAAUUUUGAGUUCAUAGCACUCUUUCAAAGUUUCUCUUAUUUUGAGAAUGAUGGGAAACUGACUUUUGUCUUAAACGGAUUUGAGAGAAUUGAUUGGAGGCAACUUUUAGAGUCUGAAAGGAUAAUAGAAUUGUUCAUGUUGUGAGACUUAACAAAUAGAAUAGCUUCAAGAAUGGCGAUUAAUUCCCCUGUAAACACAGAAGUGGUAGGUGGGCAGCUAUAACUCAGUAUAAUUCUUGUUGAAGGAAUCCAUACUGCAGCCCCAACCGGACUCAUGUCUGUUUUUGAGGCAUCCGUGUAGAUUUUAUACCAAUGUCGAAAAUCUGAGUCCAUUAUUUGAGAAAAAGUUUUAUUUGCUUCUAUAGAAAACUUAUCAACACCUAAGUCUAAAAUUACUGAGGGUUGGAAAGUAAGAGCAUUGAAAGGCAUAGAAAAUAAAGGCAAUUUAGAAUAUUGAAAGAGAGGGUUAGAGAGCUGAGAAAAUAAAAGAAACUUUUGCAAGAGCAGAAGAGAGGGCAAUUGGCCUAUAGCUGGUAGCUUCAGAUGGAUUCUGACCAGGUUUAAGUAAUGGAAUAAUUACCUGAUUUUUCCAAGGUGGAGGGAUGGAACCAAGAUCAAAAAGGUUAUUGAUUAUGCUAAGAUAAUAUUCCUUGGAUGUACAUGAUGAAUUUUUAAUGAAAGAGUAUGGGAUUCCAUCUACCCCAGGAGCAGAGUCAACUAGGCCAUCCAGAGCAAGAAGAAGUUCAGAGAAUGAGAAGGGGGACUCUAAACUGUGAGUUGAGGCAAGAGGGAUUGGGGGGAUGGAAAAUAAUCCAUAUUUGGAACUGAAGGGG